rnacentral:misc_RNA from 1 species
GAUGAAGAACGCAGCGAAAUGCGAUGAGUAAUGUGAAUUGCAGAAUUCAGUGAAUCAUCGAAUCUUUGAACGCACAUUGCGCCCGCCAGUAUUCUGGCGGGCAUGCCUGUUCGAGCGUCAUUACAACCCUCAGGCCCCCGGGCCUGGCGUUGGGGAUCGGCGGAAGCCCCCUGCGGGCACAACGCCGUCCCCCAAAUACAGUGGCGGUCCCGCCGCAGCUUCCAUUGCGUAGUAGCUAACACCUCGCACCUGGAGAGCGGCGCGGCCACGCCGUAAAACACCCAACUUCUGAAUGUUGACCUCGAAUCAGGUAGGAAUACCCGCUGAACUUAAGCAUAUCAAUAAGCGGAGGA